GAUUCGUCAUAACGCACCAACCAGUGGAUUAAUGUCUCUGCGCGCCCUGGGGCCGAGUGGGAGGAGAUGCAGCCAGGCAACGGGCCCGGGGCGGGGAACGACUGGAGCCAGGCAGGGUAGCUGCGACACGAGAGUGGCGAAACUGUCCACGGGAACUGCGGGGCUGGGCCGCGGGAGAGCCGAACGAAGGGCGGGCAGCUGGAGAGAGGGCAUCAGCACUGAUGUUAAAAACACUCCAGGGAAUAGAAUUGAUGUCAUUGGCCAGAUAACUGCAGUCUUGGAAAACAGUGAUGCAGAACAGAUAUUGGAGUAGACCAACGAACUACAUUUAUUAAGGGGAAGAGCUAAACAAACCACAAGACAUAGUGUCUACAAAAUCCAGGACUCAGCCAAACUGCUUAACUUCAGCAGACUGUAACUGAAUACCAGUGGGAGAAAAUACUCUGAGGUAAACUACAGGCUUCUGCCACAAAGCUUUUAUAUAGCAAAAUGCCCAUGCUGCCUCAGUUCCUGAUGAUUAUCACAGCAGUGUUAUACCUUAAAUUAGCCCCAGCUGGCCUUGCUGGACCGCAAAGAAGCCAAUUAUCAGGCAGGAGCUGACAGAAUUAGUUUCUCUCUCUUGCUGGAUGAAGUUGGGAUAAGAAUAUUUAUUAUUUUCUCCAGCUUGUCUUGGUUUAGCAGAGGUGGACAUGGCCCUGUUCAGUUUCCCCUUAAAUCAGAGGAGAAAAAGGAUUCCUGUGUGCUUGCAAGGAGGUUUCAAAAGAAAGCAUGCUGUGUUGAUUUUACAAAAAAGAAGAAAGAUAAUUAACUACUGUUUAUAUCAAGGGUGGGCAAACUUUUUGGCCCAAGAGCCACAUCAGGGUUGCGCAACUGUAUGGAGGGCCGGGUAGGGAAGGCUGUGCCUCCCCAAACAGCCUGGCCCCUGCUCCCUAUCCACCCACUUCCUGCCCCCCUCAGACUCCCGACCCAUCCAACCCCACCUGCUCCUUGGCCCCUGACCGCCCCGUCCCAGGACCCCCGCACCCCUAACCACCCCCCGGGACCCCAGCCCCUAUCCAACUUCCCCCCGCUCCCUGUCCCCUGACUGCCACAACCCUAUCCACACCCCUGCCCCUAACUGCCCUCUGGGACCUCAACCCCUAUCCAACUCCCCCUGCUCCCCAUUCCCUGACUGCCCCCCCCCCCACUGAAUCUCCACCCCAUCCAACCACCCCUUGUCCCCUGACUGCCCCUCGGGAUCUGCUGCCUCUUAUCCAACCACCCUACUCCCCCGCCCCCUUACCAGGCCGGAGCCAGCCACACCGCCAUGCUGCCUGAGAGGAGCAGCGGGCCAGAGUGCUGCUCAUGCAGCAGUAUGACUGUGGGGGGAGGAGGGACAGUGGGGGAGGGGCCAGGGAUGAGCCUCCCCGGCGGGGACCUCAGGGGCUGGGCAGGACGGUCCCGCGGGCCGGAUGAGGCCCAUGGGCUAUAGUUUGCCCACCUCUGUUUAUAUCCUAUCUGUAUCAUAUGCACUCACACACUCCAUAAGAAGGAAUUCAUGGUGCAGAGAAGUAAUUAAAUAAAAGCUUUCGGAACAGGGAAGGAGUGAUGUUCUCAUCCUGUGUCUUCAUAGGCUCUUUUAUCAGGGAUCCUCUGAAAAGGAAAACUAAGGAGAAACUGCAUUUCUUCCUAUGCAGAACUUUUUUUCCCCCACACAAGUAAAAAAGGUUAUUUUAUGUGUUUUGCUUUGUGUAUAUAGUACUUUAAUGCUGGCUGUUUAUUAAUAAUCCAAGCACCAUACUGUGGUGCACAAAGCAGAGGACGACUUUCUCUUCCAAAGUCGUGUCCCCCAAAUUAGAAUGAUAAUGCAGUUCAAACACACAAUACAGUGGAUGAUCAUAGGAAGGUCCAUUUCAGAUUGGUGCAGAUUUCUCUUUUAAACAUUUCCCUGGUAUGUUAUCAUGGAAAGGCUUAGUGGAAAAGGUAUGUUACGUGGGAAGAUUUGAAGGAAGAGAAGGCAGUUGUUUGGUGCACACAAAUAGAAGGGGUUCCAGCAUAGGCAGUCAUGAGAAAAGGUGCAAAUGUGGAUGCUGGGGAAAGCUACAAAAAGAACAUUUAGGAGAGUGAUGGGGUGGGAAUGGAGACCGUUAGACAGGAAUAGGAGGAAAUAUCUGACUACGAGGGAAAGGCAGAGUUGUGCAGGUGAGCACAUGAAGUUUCAUCUUAGUGCAGAAGGUUGGAGGAAUCUAUGCUAUAUGGCAGAGGUGGUCAAACUGUGGCUCGUGAGCCACAUGCUGCUCUUUUAUCAUUAAAGUGCAGCUCAUGGAGCCCCACAGGCCCCCCCGAUUCUCCGCUUACCAGACUUGGGGGUAUGGGGGGGAUCAGGACCUCUGCCUUGCAGCAGGGUGGUGCGGUAUGGGGAGGGGGGUCUUGGGGCUUUAGCAGGAGCAGGGCUGAAGUCCCAACUCGUGGCUCCUGGCAGGUGUGCCCUGACUCUCGAACUUCUGAAGAUUGUCAUAUGUAGCUCGGCAGGCCAGUAAGUUUGGCUACCCCUGAUAUAUGGGGAGACCAUACGAGAGAGGAGGCUGCCUUGAUCAAAAUGGGAUAUAACCAAAGCAUGGACAAUGUUUUUUGGAUGAGAAUGUUGAGAUUGUGUAUUACUCUUCAAUAAUAUUAUAGAAUUAUUUUAAAAUACUAUAGUUAUUUAGACUACAAAAGACAUUCCAGAUUAGAAUAACUUUGACAGUCAUCAGCUAUUUGAAAAUGUUUAUAUUGUUUUUUUGAAAGCAAGAGAAAUUGGAAUAAACAAUCACUUCCUAGAGAAAGUAUUGAUAUGUGUUAUAGACAACACCAUGAAUGUAUAAUCUUUGUUUUCUAAAGGGGUCUGUUUUGCAGAAGAGAGAGAUUUCCUUUCUCUUUAUCUCCUUCUAGAGUCAGCAUAGCUAACAGCAAUUUGGGGGAGGAGGUGCUUGCUGGUGCAAUGGCCUCAUGCACUUGCCUUUCUCCUUUGAAGUCCUUUUUUAAAACCUGGUUCAGGAUACACGAGGAAAAGCGUUUGUCUCCAGUCUUGUUUCCCAUUUGUUCUCUUCACAGUUUGGCACAAGUCAGCAUCAUUAACAGGCAGUGUUAAAAAAUAGCCCUGUGCUAGAAUAGCAAGGGAGUUGUAGAUUUGUUAAGGAAACUUGCCCAGACCAGAGCCUGCCUAUGUUAAAAUCCCUCAUUUACAAGGCUGCUAAACUUCUCAUAAUUCAAUUAUCAAAAAAGAAAAGUUCUCUAAAUAAUUCUGACUUUCUCAAGUUAUAGCCACUUUUGCCAGUGCAGUAGGAUCCACAACAUAGCACAUCCAAAAAUAUAUCGGAAUGAGAUCCCUUUUUCAAUGCAGUACACUGCAUAAAGUGCAUGGUAGUAAUAAGAGCACCAUGGGUAGAUAAAUUAUGGAUAUUUUACCUACAGCAAUCUGUGCUUCCCAGUGUUUAGGAUCUUUUCCAAGUCACUGGUAUGAAUGUGCACUGAUUCAUGAGUUUAGCUGCUCUACCCCUUUGUUUCCAUGAGUUGUUCACCUUUCAUGAGCAUCAUGAGUCCCCAUGGAUGAGGUAAAGAUUCCAUUUAUUGAUGUGUGUAAAGGGAAUAAUGAGUUCCAAAAACUCUGGAUGCAGAUAUAAUUGUGUGAAAUAGAAACAUCUUGUGUUACUUUGCCACAUAUAAAAAAAAUCUGCAUCUGUACAUUUUUGCUAUACCUUAUCAACUUUCUUAUGUUGCCUUCUCAUUGGGUAGGACAGCGGUUCUAAAACUGUGGUCAGGACCGCAAAGUGGGUCGCAACCCAAUUUUAAUGGGUCACCAGGGCUGGCUUAGACUUGCUGCGGCCCAGGGCCAAGGCCCAAGCCUAAGGGCUUCAGCCCUGGGUGGUAAGGCUAAGGUUACGGGCCCCCUGCCUAGGGCUGAAGCUCUUGGGCUUCAGCUUUGGCCCCCUGGCCUGGGGUAAUGCAGCUUUGACUCUUCUCCCCUCCCACUGGGGGUGGCAGGGCUUGGGCGAGCUCAGGCUUUGGUCCCCGCUCCUGGGGUCCUGUAGUAAUUUUUGUUGUCAGAAGGGGAUUGCAGUGCAAUGAAGUUUGAGAACCCCUGGGGUAGGGGGAUUUUUCAGAGAGAACUUGGGGUGGUGAGUGAUGUGGUGUACACCUCCACACAAGGUGGCAGAGCAGGUUAAAUUAGGAUAAUUAACCUGAUGGGUUGUACCUGGGGAAGAGCCAGGGAUUGAAGGCCUGAUUGAACAUGGAGCCCAGCUGGAAAGGAACAGGCAGGGCUAAGAUAAAGCCAGGAAGCUGGCAGUAGCAUGGGGCUGCAGUAAGGGAGCCUGUAGCCACUCUCUAGUUUGUAGAGAGGGAAAGAAGGGAAACUAGGUGGAGAGGGUGUAGGGAAAGGCUCAGAGGAAAGGCAGGAAGGCUUAAGGGAGUGCAGACUGUGGCUGCUGAUUAGAGGGUCUGUAAGAUGGAACCAGGAGUAGAGAGUGGGCUUGGCUUCCCCUACCAGUCACUGGAGAAGCGCACCAUUGGGGAAGUGAAGGAAAGACAGCCAUCUUGGAGGAAGAGACUUUGAUACGCUCGGAAGGGGGGAAAACACAGUGACCUAGCCAGAGAGCCAAGCAUAAAGACACAGCACCCUGAGUCGCAGAGAGCGACAGAGAGCACAGUGACAGGGCCUGCAGCAAGCAGCAGAGAGGGGUUUUGGACCAGAGUGGAACUAAUCCCCAAAUGUGGUCAGAAGGAGGUGCCCUAGUGGUGCGCGCACCCCAUGACAUGGUGAUAUUAGCAUUAUAAAAUAUUUGUAUUAGAGUAGCACCCAGAGACCCCAGUCGGGGUAAAUGAUAUUGUUCCCUUUCCCUAUCCACCCACCCCCCCUUCCUUUUCUGUCUUCAUUCCAAAAACGUCUCCAGGCCUGCUCUUCCAUAGCAUGCCUCCAACCCGUCCUCUCCCACCCUGCUGCUGUUUCCCAUUUAAAGGCCACAGCUGAGAACCUUUCUAAUGUCCAGACCCCUACUCAGAAUCUGAAUACCUGGGCUGUUCUUUCCAAAUGCUGGAAUAGACAAGAGCUACAAAGCUGCAUCAUAAGUCUGUGGCUGGAAGAGAGCCAUAGUAGCAAGCUGUUGAAAACCAAUGUGUGUUUUUUGUUUUUAACUGCAAUUAGUAUCUUCACUGCUGACAUAUAUGACAUCAUUCUAUGGAUGCAUGUUUGAAAACAGUGAAUUCUAGUUUACACAUACCCCUGGGAGUUGAUGUUUGGAUUUGUUUCUGUGUUGCUUAUAACACCAGUUUUCUUGUUUAGUUGUUUUUUCCAAACAUGCUUCGCUACUGGACAAUAUAUACUGUGAUUAGAGAAUUUUCUGUAACAUUGCACACAGCACUGGAAAUUAACAGUUUUAUAAUGUAUUCAAUUUAUAAUUAAACAAAUACUUUAUAUUCAGCCUUCAUCUUCUGGAUCUGAUUUUAUGUUGUUACUAUAGAAACACAUGGCAUUUACAUUUUGGCAAAAUAUCCGUAAUGAAUGUGGGUUUUUUGGUUGUUUUUUUUAAAGUGAGUUAUCAAUGGAUUGCUGCUUACAUUCUGACUUUUUUAAGUAAUGUUUUGUCUUGCACAUACACAUUCGUUAAUCAGAAUCAACUGCCUCUGGUAGAUAACACAGCAAUAUGUUUAAGGGCACACUUUCAAAGUUGGUAACCCUGCUGUCUUGCCUCAAGGAAAUUUUACGUUAAAUUCUAAGUGCAACAGAACAGCCAGCCUUGUGUUACAAUCUGGCAAACAGUAUUUGUGUCUUUGAAUCCUGUUUGCAAGAGAAGAGAAAGUCAUAGCUCAGCAGGUUUUGUACAUUCAGAAAACAAACCUUUUACCUUAAGCAAGGCUUGCCCGCUGUACAUGUUAGUUGGUGAAUAUUCGUGAGAAUCAUUGAGCUAGUGAUAUGAUGUUACUGAACUAACGAAGUAGGAUGAGAUCAAUUGUCAAGAAGAAAGUCACUCUUCAUACAUACAAAUACUUGGCAUUUAUGUAGCACUUUACAACUGUAACAGAGUGUCCUGCCUUUAAGAGCAAGAUUUUUCAACAGUGACAAACCCUAUUGGCUCUCUAAACAAACCACCGACAAGUCACUCCUUAACCAACCAAUACCGAGCACUGCAGUUCUGUUUAACAGCUGUAGUAACGCACGAUAGCUGCAGUGAACUUACUGAUUACAUAUUGAAAUGUUACAGAAGGGGAGGAUGAACAUAAGGACAUAUUUCACACACACUUUCUGUUGAAGUGGACUGAGAUCCAGGGUGCCUUGUUGAACGCCGCAAGGCUCUAACCCUUGGAGCUUUGAACAGCCCAGCUGUUUGAAGACUCCAGGUGGUUAAUUGCUUCCUGGUGGUGAGGGGCGGAGCUGAGCUAAGCAGGGAAGACUGGUAUAAAAAGCCAACUGGUAGGCAAACUCAAGGGUUAGUGAAAAGAGGAGUUUUGGAGGGAGUGUGAGAGAGGCUUCCCUUCCAGGUGCAGCACUACAUUGGGUAUAAAGAUGGUCAGAGAUGGAAUAGUGAUUUGCCUGAAAAUCGAAGGGAUUUCAUGUGCAUGAAGUGCAAGUUGGUGGCUGUGCUGGAGGAAAAGAUUGUUGGAUCGCAGGGGCAAGUUAAGAUGCUACUGAAAAGCUGAGGAGUUCGUAGGCAACCAUGUUCGGAAAACACCAGUACCCCAGGUUCAAGGAAGAAUGGAGCUGGCCACCAGGAAUCUGAAAGAAAGGGAGUCAGAGGAGGCCUGAUGGUUUGUAAUCACCAGAGGCAGGAGGUCAUGGCAGUGUUCUAGCUGGCUGGCGACAGAUGCAGAUGGGCAGGUUGUAGCCAUCCGAAAGAAGACCAGGAGGAAUUCCAUGUCACUAGACUUUUCAAAUCGAUAUCAGGUCCUCUGUGACAAAUUUGGAAGAUACCUCUCAAGAUCCAGCAGGUCUAAGGGAACGGAUAGAUGUAUGGGACACACGUGGAUGGCAGCUCACCCAACCCAUAAGAGAAUCAAGCUUGCCCACAAAGAAUUCUCAAACUGUCCAAGGAGGAUAGACAAUCCUUGCUGGAGAUUUUAGUAUUCAGAAGAUUGACAAGACUACACUGUAAAGGACAGGCGGACAAAUAAUCUAUUUGUAGCUGAGCAAAUAAAUCGCUACAAAUAAAAA